UACGGAGGGAGCUAGCGUUAUUCGGAAUUACUGGGCGUAAAGCGCACGUAGGCGGCUUUGUAAGUUAGAGGUGAAAGCCCGGGGCUCAACUCCGGAAUUGCCUUUAAGACUGCAUCGCUAGAACGUCGGAGAGGUAAGUGGAAUUCCGAGUGUAGAGGUGAAAUUCGUAGAUAUUCGGAAGAACACCAGUGGCGAAGGCGACUUACUGGACGACUGUUGACGCUGAGGUGCGAAAGCGUGGGGAGCAAACAGG
rnacentral:rRNA from 1 species